rnacentral:rRNA from 1 species
GACGAACGCUGGCGGCGUGCUUAACACAUGCAAGUCGAACGCUGAAGCCCAGCUUGCUGGGUGGAUGAGUGGCGAACGGGUGAGUAACACGUGAGUAACCUGCCCCCUUCUUUGGGAUAACGCCCGGAAACGGGUGCUAAUACUGGAUAUUCACUGAUCUUCGCAUGGGGGUUGGUGGAAAGGUUUUUUCUGGUGGGGGAUGGGCUCGCGGCCUAUCAGCUUGUUGGUGGGGUGAUGGCCUACCAAGGCUUUGACGGGUAGCCGGCCUGAGAGGGUGACCGGUCACAUUGGGACUGAGAUACGGCCCAGACUCCUACGGGAGGCAGCAGUGGGGAAUAUUGCACAAUGGGCGAAAGCCUGAUGCAGCGACGCCGCGUGAGGGAUGACGGCCUUCGGGUUGUAAACCUCUUUCGCUCAUGGUCAAGCCGCAACAGUGGUUGUGGUGAGGGUAGUGGGUAAAGAAGCGCCGGCUAACUACGUGCCAGCAGCCGCGGUAAUACGUAGGGCGCGAGCGUUGUCCGGAAUUAUUGGGCGUAAAGGGCUUGUAGGCGGUUGGUCGCGUCUGCCGUGAAAUCCUCUGGCUUAACUGGGGGCGUGCGGUGGGUACGGGCUGACUUGAGUGCGGUAGGGGAGACUGGAACUCCUGGUGUAGCGGUGGAAUGCGCAGAUAUCAGGAAGAACACCGGUGGCGAAGGCGGGUCUCUGGGCCGUUACUGACGCUGAGGAGCGAAAGCGUGGAGAGCGAACAGG